ensembl:lncRNA
CCCUGCAGUGCACAGGGACACCCACAGCUCCGUCAGGUGCUUGGAGUCCUGUCCAGCCUCACCUCAAAUGUCCCCAAGGAUGGGGACAUCUCUCUGGAAACUCUGUUGAGCCGUAUCUGUAGCAUCACUACUUCCAUUUACUGCCAAAGCAGCAAAUUUGAAAUUAGCAGCUUCACUCUUCAGAUUUCUUUCCAUAGAUUUUCCUUUUCCUUCAGCUCACCUGGCUAUAGACAAAAUGGUUUGAGAAAAAUCCAUGUUUUUUCUUUAAUUGGGACAAAUGAUAUCCACCACUCUUUCCAUAGGGUGCUUAAUAAACUCAUCACCAGUCAGGGCCUUUAAUUCUUUUUGUUGUUGUUGUUUUUUUUGCAGUCAGAUUUGCUGCCACAUAACCUCAUCUCACGCAGUUCCCUCCCUCGGUCAGCAGGAGACAGCUGCACACCACGCUUGCUGGAAGCUCUGCAGCUGCACAUGUUCAGGCUCUGCUGCUUUUGCUGGGAAUAGAAAGAGCUGAGCUGCAUUGCACGUCAGCUUGUGCAAACUGUAGGUGAGGUAGGGCCAUUCUCCUUCAUCCCACCGCACUUCUGAAAACACCCACUGCAAUGGUUCCUGGAGUGGAACGAGCUGAAGACUCGUGGGGCUCCGGGACAGGUUGCCCAGAGAUGAUCAUAGAAUCAUAGAACGGCCUGGGUUGAAAAGGCCCACAAUGCUCAUCCAGUUCCAACCCCCUGCUAUGUGCAGGGUCGCCAACCAGCAGACCAGGCUGCCCAGAGCCACAUCCAGCCUGGCCUUGAAUGCCUGCAGGGAUGGGGCAUCCACAGCCUCCUUGGGCAACCUGUUCCAGUGCCUCACCACCCUCUGGGGGAAAAGCUGCCUCCUCAUAUCCGACCUAAACCUCCCCAUCUCAGUUUAAAACCAUUCCCCCUUGUCCUAUCACUGUCCACCCUCGUAAACAGCCAUUCCCCCUCCUGUUUAUACGCUCCCUUCAAGUACUGGAAGGCCACAAUGAGGUCUCCCCGCAGCCUUCUCUUCUCCAAGCUAAACAAGCCCAGUUCCCUCAACCUUUCCUCAUAGGAGAGGUUCUCCAGCCCUCUGACCAUCUUUGUGGCUCUCCUCUGGACCCGCUCCAAGAGCUCCACGUCCUUCUUGUGGUAAAGACCUCCAAGAUCCCCAAACCCAAUCCACUGCACCAUGCCCACUGACCGUGUCCCUCAGUGCCACAUGUCUGUGGCCCUGCAACACCGCCAGGGACGGUGACUCCACCACCUCCACCGAGUCAAAUGAAGUGGGUGCCCCAUCCCUGCAGACACCCAAGGUCAGGUUGGAUGGGCUCAGAACACUGAUGGAGCUGUGGGUGUCCCUGUGCAUUGCAGGGAGUGGGACCAGACGGCCUUUAAGGUCCCUUCCAACUCAAACCAUUAUUUGAUUCAAAAGACCAACACAUUACCCCAUGGGCUUUAGGGCAGGGAUGCUCAUUAUCCCCAGGCAUCAUUGCUCAGAGCCCUGCACAGCUCUGAGUUGUAGAGCCUCAGAUAUAAGCUGCUGUGCACUGAGCAGAAGAGCCCCCUGCUGCGGGGUGAAGCCCUUGGCUCCACGGGAGCUCCGAGCGGAUACAGAUCCUCACUUGAAUGCGUCAAUUUUUCACCUGGCAAAGGGCAGGGAAGGAAAUCACACAUUCAACUAGUCUUAAAAUCAGCUCACGUGACGCAUGUGCCCCUGCAGAGCACUUCUCCAGCGCUCACAACAACCGCGUUACUCAGCUGGCAUCACGUCUGCUUUGCUGGUAUGAAAACUAAAGUCAACAAAGCAACAAAGGAGCCAAGCUUCUGAGGGACACCGGAUGAGGAGCCGGUCUGACUCCUGGGUCCUGAGGUGUGUAACAACCCACCCUGCCUGCUGCCACCAUUGAUGCAGCCCAGGAUACCAUUGGCCUUCCAGGCUGCAAGAGCACACUGCAGGCUCGUGUCCAGCUUUUCAUCCACCAGGAGCCCCAAGUUCUUCACUACAGGGCUACCAUCAAGGAGUUCUCCCAGUCCUUGGUGUCCUUUCUGGGUCUCCAACGACCUGCCAAUAUAACUGCAUGCCAGUCCGUUCCCUAAUCCAGCUCUUUCAGAGGAUCCUUCUCAUCAGAGAUGUUCUGGCGAGUGCUUAACCCAGCUGGGAUGGUUCCAGCAGGACUGGCUGCCCCGAGAGGAUGCUGACCUCCAGCUCCUGGGGACAAAGCAGAGACAGGAUUUACCUCACCAACGUCAAUGAGAGAAGAGCAGUGUGUGCAUGGACCUUUGCUUCGUGAGCAGAAUCCCCACCUCCUGGCAGUACGGGGAGCUUGGAGAAGCCACGCUGACCUGAGAUGGCUCUAAGGACAAUGGAGAGAAGCCAAAGUGACACAGAAACUCGCCCCAGCUCUGACGCAGCUCCCCAGGCGCAGCGAGGAGCUUCCUUAACUACUUCCUAAAUGCACCCCCGGUGCGUGCAGCCUGCAGCACAGCCUCACACGUACAUUUCCUUGUUUUUCUUCCCUUUUGUCACAGCCUUGGGAACGUUUCUUUGAGUCACUGAAUAUAUAAUGGGGGUCAGAGCGGCUCUGGCUACGGGCCACAUCCACCGAGAUCGUGUCUGAAUGAACUGAAGAGCUCUGCCCAAGCGAUUCCCUCCCAGCAAACUUGGUGGAAGGUUUGUUGUGGAAUAAGCCAUGGUGGCAAUGCUCAUCCUUCAAAGAGAAUUGCAGGACUGUCAGGCAGGGCUUGCAGCACUUAGUCUGAUACUGGUGUGUGGUGCGGGGAGUUGGCUGACCCUUCCGAGCUACCAUACGGGAACCUGUAAUGGGCAUACAGGAAAAAUGAGCUCAUAGCUUAAAGCUUCUCACAGCCACCUCCUUAUCACACAAUCAUAGAAUCACUGAGGUUGGAGAAGACCUCUAAGAUCAUGAGUUCCAACCCCAACCCACUCCCAUCAUGCCCACUGACCUUGUCCCUCAGUGCCACAUCCCCAUGGCUCUUGAACAUCUCCAAGGAGGGGGAAUCUACCACCUCCCUGUGCCAAUGCUUGAUGUGAGGAAACAAUGCUACAAAAUGCAAGAGAGUAGAAAUCACAACUUGAUCUGACGUGAAAAGACAACAUCAGAUCAUCAUAGAGAUGUCAUUCUGCUUGACUAAGGAAGUACUUCUAUUACACACCAACCCAAAAGACCUCUCCAUCACUGAGGUCCCAGGGACCCAACGGGAUGGCAGUGAUCGAUCCCCCAUGAUGAGAGAGAUGGAGGAGAUGACCUCUGGGCUUCAUCCAGCACAAUGGGCGAGAAGAGACACUUGGUGAAGGUCCCAGAAACAUGAUCAAGAGUGUUCCAGUUUCCUCAGGGCAGGAUUUUUCUUCUGAGAUUGCAUAGCCCAUAGCAGAGUUGGGCUCUAUUCCAUAUGCCAAACUCUUGCACACUUCAAAUCCUUCCUCUAUUUUCUAAACACAGAGAGCAGUCAGUGCUGGUGCUGGCGUGGCCCUCAGUAAAAGGAAAUGGUUUGCCAAUUACAUUUUGCUUGAAGAAAGAUGGGAUUUUGCUCAAAGUCUCAGGGAGGGGAUGUCCCCAUACCUGGUGCUGUGAGGGGCACUCAGACUGAGCACCCCACUCCCAGCUCUGCCCACGACACCAGGACAGCUCUGUCACCUCUCUGACAUCCUGGUCCUGCCAAAGUCAACAGGAAUUCUGUCACGGAUGGCACCGGAGCCAAGAUGCUGACCCAGCAGCCCCCCUCCUGCAGGCACCUGCCUCACACCUUUGUCCUCCCAGCCCCUUCCUGCUAUUAAGCCCUGGCUUGCCUCAGCCCUAAAGCUCCCCGAGGGGGUAAUGUCCUUCUGCCUGCUGCCUCCUGCCGGAAGAAUGGGCCCUGCCUGCUACUACAAUCAGAGGAGUUGGUGAGGAUUCAAGAAACUCAGCUAGUACUCAAAGGAAAAGGUAAUGCAGAACAGUAAAUUAUCACAUCACAAAGGAAAAACCCUUAACAAUGCUCAAACCCUGGUAUAAGGACAGAAUGUGAACCAUCCGUGGCUCCCUUCCAUGCAAAUUUCUCUAUAUCCUCCCUGCCUCAAAAGCAGGAUACUGACAGUAAAUACCCUGGUUACUCAUCCAUGUUCAUUUCUGCUGUCUUAUUUACAAGGAUCCCAGACCUACUGCACACAGUUCCCCCCAUCUUACGCAUGCAGCACUGCUGCAAGCCAAAAAGGAAGAGCACUUGGCUUUGAUGUCCAGCAAGAACUCGAAGCUUAAUCAUAAAGAAGGAAAUAACUAGAUACACACACAAUGUGGGUGCAAAAAGUACAAGUGUCUCCUGCCAAGGGCGGGUGCUGCCAGCUGGCCUUGGCCCCGCUGCACCAGCAGAGACCCCAGAUUCAGGUAGGGGUUGGUGGCUGUGAGCCUCCAUUGAUAGGACGAGAGGUAACGGCUUCAAGUUGCACGAGGGGGGGGUCAGGUUGGAUAUUAGGAAAAAAAUGAUUCUUUGAAAGAGUGGUAAUGCAUUGGAAUGGGCUGCAGAGGGAGGUGGGGGAGUCAUCGUCCCUGGAGGUGUUCAAGAACAGGGUAGAUGUGGCCCUUGGGGACAUGGUGGAGACAAGUUGCACUUGGUGACCUUAGAGGUCUUUCCAACCUCAACCAUCCUAUGAUUCUAUGAGUCCUUACAGUGGGAGUGGGUUGGGGUUGGCCUUGAUGACUUCAGAGGUCUUUCCAACCUCAAAAGCUCUACAACUGGGGCUGGUGGAGCAAACAUGCUCUGUGGUGAGCUGGUGCAGUGAUACGGUGACAUUCACAGUGUUGUUUCCCAGGCUGUAUCAGUUUUAUAACCCAUUGCAACACCCAUUCCCUUUUCAUCAGGAAUGCAAGCAAACAAGGAAAGCGCCUUUCCUUCCCUGCAGACACCCACAGGGAAGAGCUGCAGCCCACAUGGCACUCCGGUGACAGCCAAAUUACCGGGCACUACAAAGGGUAGCUGGCCAGCACAGCCUAUUUCUGAUAAAAACACAUUUAUUAAGAUUUGAUUGUGCUAUAAAAUCAAACGCAUGUCUCAUGACUUUCAUACCUUAAUCUCGCCGAUAACACUGAGCUGGGAACAGCUCUGCCUUUAAUGGUUGACUCAUUGCAUCCCGACCAGACCAACCUAUUUUCUCCCCCUGCAAUAAAAAGUUAUACCAGGAACAUUUUAUCACUCCUGAAGUCACAGCGUGAUUAAUUGCAGUGCACAUCAACACAGAGCAAUUCAGCAAGCUUUAUGUAUGAGAGCUUUUGUACAAUAACCUCAUGUAUGAUCUGUGACCUUGGGACGCCAGCCUGGAGCCCCGGGCCCUAUGAGCCACCCCCAUGACCCCAUCUCUCGUGCCCAUGACUUAACCCCCAUCCCCAGGUCCUGCCCCUAUCUCCUAACUGCUGUCCCCUGUCUUUGGACUCUCUCAGUCAUCCUCAUUCUCAGCCCCUGUCCCUGUCUGUCUGUGGGCUCCAGAACCAGACUACAACCCUCUGCUCCUUAUCCCAAGACCUCAUCUUCAUCCCAAUCCUGUCCCUUCUGCCUGCCCCAUCCCUUG